rnacentral:rRNA from 1 species
CCUACGGGGGGCAGCAGUGAGGAAUAUUGGUCAAUGGACGAGAGUCUGAACCAGCCAAGUAGCGUGAAGGAUGACUGCCCUAUGGGUUGUAAACUUCUUUUAUAUGGGAAUAAAAUGUUCCACGUGUGGGAUUUUGUAUGUACCAUAUGAAUAAGGAUCGGCUAACUCCGUGCCAGCAGCCGCGGUAAUACGGAGGAUCCGAGCGUUAUCCGGAUUUAUUGGGUUUAAAGGGAGCGUAGGUGGAUUGUUAAGUCAGUUGUGAAAGUUUGCGGCUCAACCGUAAAAUUGCAGUUGAAACUGGCAGUCUUGAGGACAGUAGAGGUGGGCGGAAUUCGUGGUGUAGCGGUGAAAUGCUUAGAUAUCACGAAGAACUCCGAUUGCGAAGGCAGUUCACUGGACUGCAACUGACACUGAGGCUCGAAAGUGUGGGUAUCAAACAGGAUUAGAUACCCGUGUAGUC